GCGGGCGGAGCCGGCGUCCCGGGCUUGCCUCUGGCCGCACUUCGGGGCGGCCGGGUUGGACGGACUGCGGGGAAGCCGCGUUACCCCUUGCCUUCCCCAGUCCCAGACGCGGCCCUCUGGAGGCCUCCCCGGUCGGGGCCCUGCUGCCUCAGGGUCGGAAGCACGGAUGUCGGGCCGGGCCGUGACUUCGCCAGGCUUCACGCCCAACCUAAUGCGUUAGGUGUCCCUUUCCAGUUCCCAGGGAUCAGAUCUCAGCUGCAGUUGUGACCUAUGCCACAGACACAGCAACGCUGGAUCUCUUAACCCACCACGCUGGGCUGGGGAUGGAACCUACAUCCUGGCGCUGCAGAGAUGCCGCCAAGCUCCUGGCGCCACAGCGGCAAGUCUGCUUCCUGACUAACAGGGUUGACUGUUUUGCAAG
rnacentral:lncRNA from 1 species